CCUUCGAUAGCUCAGUUGGUAGAGCGGAGGACUGUAGAUCCUUAGGUCGCCUGUUCGAAUCCGACUCGAAUGGU
rnacentral:tRNA from 1 species